GGACCCUAUAUCCUUGCUCCAGCAACAACUGGAAUAAUGCAGAGAAGAAAACCACAGCCCCUGAAUGAGAAUGAUACACAAGUUCAGGAAGCAAUCCCUAUUUUU